rnacentral:rRNA from 1 species
UACGUAGGGUGCGAGCGUUAAUCGGAAUUACUGGGCGUAAAGCGUGCGCAGGCGGUUUUGCAAGCCGGAUGUGAAAUCCCCGGGCUCAACCUGGGAACUGCAUUUGUGACUGCAUAGCUGGAGUGCGGCAGAGGGGGAUGGAAUUCCGCGUGUAGCAGUGAAAUGCGUAGAUAUGCGGAGGAACACCGAUGGCGAAGGCAAUCCCCUGGGCCUGCACUGACGCUCAUGCACGAAAGCGUGGGGAGCAAACAGG